CAGGGGUUGAUGUGAUGCCUGCGGCGUUUUGCUCCCGGUGUCAGCAGCACACAGAAAGGCAGCUCCCACAAAGACAGGCAGGUGUCCCCACCUGAAGGCAGGAAGUACUAGGUGCCACAUGACCUUGCCUGAGUAGUCCAGCUGGCUGAGCCUCAGCUGGAGAGGAGGAGCACCCAGCGGGGCUGUCUUGAAAAGACACAGAACCUUGCAGUUCUUUUCAAAGUAAAGCUUAGACCAACAGGAGGCAGCUCCUUCUGAAAGCACAGAGGCACUCGGGUGAUGACUGCUUUUCCAGCCCCAAUUGUUACUACAUUAGCCACACUGAGCUCAUCGGCCCAGCCAGAAGGUUAUAUUGAAUGUUAUACAAGCUUCAGCAACAUCUCCGGCAAAGUCUUCAACUCUUUCUGGAGGGACAACUCAUGUUUUUGGUUCCUUGAUUUGCCCAUUGGGUACAGAAUUGAGUUGGAAAUUCCUUUUCUCAACUUCACCUCUUCUUCAGAAAGGCUGGAAAUAACUGAUGGACUUCCAGCAAAUAUAAACUAUGGGAUACUGAUGCUAUGUAACAUUUUAAAUUACCAUUUUUGACCUUCAGCGAACAUCAUAAUGAUAACAUACACAAAACCCGUUCUCUAUGGGGGUACUCCCUUUGAUAUAUGUUACCAGGGUGACCCAAAUGGUAAGUAGAAGUGGGUAAGGAAUGUGCUGAUGCUUCCUCCCCAAUCUAUGCCUGGCUAUGUGUCAUG
rnacentral:lncRNA from 12 species